GAUGAAGAACGUAGCGAAAUGCGAGAAGUAGUGUGAAUUGCAGAAUUCAGUGAAUCAUCGAAUCUUUGAACGCACAUUGCGCCCGCCAGUAUUCUGGCGGGCAUGCCUGUUCGAGCGUCAUUUCAACCAUCAAGCCCCCGGCUUGUGUUGGGGACCUGCGGCUGCCGCAGGCCCUGAAAACCAGUGGCGGGCUCGCUGUCACACCGAGCGUAGUAGAUUUUCAUCUCGCUCAGGGCGUGCUGCGGGUUCCGGCCGUAAAAAGCCUUAUUUACCCAAGGUUGACCUCGGAUCAGGUAGGAAGACCCGCUGAACUUAAGCAUAUCAAUAAGCGGAGGA
rnacentral:misc_RNA from 1 species